UCUUUCUAAUGAUCUUAUCCCACACCAGUACACACUAUGUCUGUGAAAAGGUUAUGACUCGCUGAAUAUAAUUCUGCUAUUUGUAUGCAUGUACCAUUUUUGUAUUUGAAGUUAUGAGUAUUGGCUCUAUACCUGGAUUUCAAAUAUUUGCUCCUGGAGUAAUGCCCACAAGGUAGCUAGCUAGCAUAUCUUGGA